rnacentral:rRNA from 1 species
UACAGAGGUCCCAAGCGUUGUUCGGAAUUACUGGGCGUAAAGCGUGUGUAGGCGGCUAAGCAAGUCGGAUGUGAAAGCCCCGGGCUCAACCCGGGAAGUGCACUCGAUACUGCCUAGCUUGAGUGUGGGAGAGGUUGGUGGAAUUCUCGGUGUAGAGGUGAAAUUCGUAGAUAUCGAGAGGAACACCGGCGGCGAAGGCGGCCAACUGGACCACUACUGACGCUGAGACACGAAAGCGUGGGGAGCAAACAGG